UGCAGAAUUCCGUGAAUCAUCGAAUCUUUGAACGCACAUUGCGCCCCCUGGCAUUCCGGGGGGCAUGCCUGUCCGAGCGUCAUUU
rnacentral:rRNA from 1 species